rnacentral:rRNA from 1 species
UACGUAGGGUGCAAGCGUUAAUCGGAAUUACUGGGCGUAAAGCGUGCGUAGACGGUUAUUUAAGUCGGGUGUGAAAGCCCCGGGCUCAACCUGGGAAUUGCAUUCGAGACUGAAUAGCUAGGGUACGGUAGAGGGAAGCGGAAUUUCCGGUGUAGCGGUGAAAUGCGUAGAUAUCGGAAGGAACAUCAGUGGCGAAAGCGGCCCCCUGGUUGGAUACUGACGCUGAGACGCGAAAGCGUGGGGAGCAAACAGG